rnacentral:rRNA from 1 species
CCAAUAGCGUAUAUUAAAGUUGUUGCAGUUAAAAAGCUCGUAGUUGAAUUUCGGGGUCAGCAGGUCGGUCGUGCCACUGGUAUGUACUGGUCUUGCUGAUUCCUCCCUCUUGACGAACCGUAAUGCCAUUAAUUUGGUGUUGCGGGGAAUCAGGACUGUUACUUUGAAAAAAUUAGAGUGUUUAAAGCAGGCGUUCGCUUGAAUACAUUAGCAUGGAAUAAUGAAAUAGGACGUUUGAUCCUAUUUUGUUGGUUUCUAGGAUUGACGUAAUGAUUAAUAGGGAUAGUUGGGGGCAUUAGUAUUCAAUUGUCAGAGGUGAAAUUCUUGGAUUUAUUGAAGACUAACUACUGCGAAAGCAUUUGCCAAGGAUGUUUUCAUUAAUCAAGAACGAAAGUUAGGGGAUCGAAGACGAUCAGAUACCGUCGUAGUCUUAACCAUAAACUAUGCCGACUAGGGAUCGGAUGAUGUUAAUUUUUUAAUGACUCAUUCGGCGCCUUACG